AUUGAACGCUGGCGGCAUGCCUUACACAUGCAAGUCGAACGGCAGCGUGGAGAGCUUGCUCUCUGAUGGCGAGUGGCGAACGGGUGAGUAAUGCAUCGGAACGUACCGUGUAAUGGGGGAUAACGUAGCGAAAGUUACGCUAAUACCGCAUACGACCUGAGGGUGAAAGCAGGGGAUCGCAAGACCUUGCGUUAUACGAGCGGCCGAUGUCAGAUUAGCUAGUUGGUGAGGUAAAGGCUCACCAAGGCGACGAUCUGUAGCGGGUCGGAGAGGAUGAUCCGCCACACUGGGACUGAGACACGGCCCAGACUCCUACGGGAGGCAGCAGUGGGGAAUUUUGGACAAUGGGGGCAACCCUGAUCCAGCCAUGCCGCGUGAGUGAAGAAGACCUUCGGGUUGUAAAGCUCUUUCGGCCGGGAAGAAAUCGCACAGGCUAAUACUCUGUGUGGAUGACGGUACCGGCAUAAGAAGCACCGGCUAACUACGUGCCAGCAGCCGCCGCCG
rnacentral:rRNA from 1 species